rnacentral:rRNA from 1 species
CGCCCUUAGAGUUUGAUCAUGGCUCAGGACGAACGCUGGCGGCGUGCCUAAUACAUGCAAGUCGAACGCAGCUUGCUUUGGUAAGAUGAGUGGCGAACGGGUGAGUAACACGUGGGUAACCUGCCUAUCAGAGGGGGAUAACACUUGGAAACAGGUGCUAAUACCGCAUAGAUUUCUUUCGCAUGAAAAGAGAGGAAAGACGUACGUGUCACUGAUAGAUGGACCCGCGGUGCAUUAGCUAGUUGGUGAGGUAACGGCUCACCAAGGCCAUGAUGCAUAGCCGACCUGAGAGGGUGAUCGGCCACACUGGGACUGAGACACGGCCCAGACUCCUACGGGAGGCAGCAGUAGGGAAUCUUCGGCAAUGGACGAAAGUCUGACCGAGCAACGCCGCGUGAGUGAAGAAGGUUUUCGGAUCGUAAAACUCUGUUGUUAGAGAAGAAUAGGUAGGAGUGACUUCCUGCCAUGACGGUAUCUAACCAGAAAGCCACGGCUAACUACGUGCCAGCAGCCGCGGUAAUACGUAGGUGGCAAGCGUUGUCCGGAUUUAUGGGCGUAAAGCGAG